ACUUAGCGGCGGACGGGUGAGUAAUGCUUAGGAAUCUGCCUAUUAGUGGGGGACAACAUUUCGAAAGGAAUGCUAAUACCGCAUACGUCCUACGGGAGAAAGCAGGGGAUCUUCGGACCUUGCGCUAAUAGAUGAGCCUAAGUCGGAUUAGCUAGUUGGUGGGGUAAAGGCCUACCAAGGCGACGAUCUGUAGCGGGUCUGAGAGGAUGAUCCGCCACACUGGGACUGAGACACGGCCCAGACUCCUACGGGAGGCAGCAGUGGGGAAUAUUGGACAAUGGGCGCAAGCCUGAUCCAGCCAUGCCGCGUGUGUGAAGAAGGCCUUAUGGUUGUAAAGCACUUUAAGCGAGGAGGAGGCUACUGAAGUUAAUACCUUCAGAUAGUGGACGUUACUCGCAGAAUAAGCACCGGCUAACUCUGUGCCAGCAGCCGCGGUAAUACAGAGGGUGCAAGCGUUAAUCGGAUUUACUGGGCGUAAAGCGCGCGUAGGCGGCUAAUUAAGUCAAAUGUGAAAUCCCCGAGCUUAACUUGGGAAUUGCAUUCGAUACUGGUUAGCU
rnacentral:rRNA from 1 species